rnacentral:lncRNA from 1 species
GUAGUCCUAUGAUGAUCGAAAGAUCGAGUCCUUAAGCCCAUGGCCAUGGCAGAGUAAAAUAAUGGAAAAGAGUUUUCCAUUGGAGUUUCACAUCAGACUCGGAUCAAUCGAUUGAUUCAUAUGACUGAUGUUGAGUUUGACGAGUUCACCUUAACCCUAAUUCAGUCGGAACUCAUGAUAGAAGAACUCAAUCACACAGAUAGCUGCACCG